rnacentral:rRNA from 1 species
GAUGAACGCUGGCAGAAUGCUUAACACAUCAGCAAUUGAUUGGUGGCGGACGGGGAAGUAACGCGUAUAGAACUUACCUCACAGAGAGGGACAGGAUUUGUACACGAAUGCUAAUACCUAAUCCUGUGACAGAGCGUUGCGUCCCAUUAGCUAGUUGGAGAGGUAACGGGUCACCAAGGCGAUGAUGGGUAGCCGGCCUGAGAGGGUGAUCGGCCACAAGUGGACUGAGACACGAGCAUUAGUGCUACGGGAGGCAGCAGUGGAGAAUAUUGGACAAUGGACCAAAGUCUGAGCAAGCAAUUCGGGGUGCACGAUGAAGUUUUCGGAAAGUAAAGUGCUUUCAGUUGGGAAGCGGUACCAACAGAAGAAGUGACGGCUAAAUACGUGCCAGCAGCCGCGGUAAUUC